UACGUAGGGGGCGAGCGUUGUCCGAAGUUACUGGGCGUAAAGCGCGCGUAGGCGGCCCUUUAAGUCCGGCGUGAAAGGUUCAGGGCUCAACCCGAACAGUGCGCUGGAGACUGGAGAGCUUGAGGACGGGAGAGGGAAGCGGAAUUCCAGGUGUAGCGGUGAAAUGCGUAGAUAUCUGGAGGAAUACCGGUGGCGAAGGCGGCAUCCUGGACCGACAUUGACGCUGAGGAGCGAAAGCGUGGGGAGCGAACAGG
rnacentral:rRNA from 1 species